GGGGCUGUAGCUCAGCUGGGAGAGCGCUUGCAUGGCAUGCAAGAGGUCGUCGGUUCGAUCCCGAUCAGCUCCACCA
rnacentral:tRNA from 3 species